AGAGUUUGAUCCUGGCUCAGAGCGAACGCUGGCGGCGUGCUUAACACAUGCAAGUCGAACGUGAAAUGUAGCAAUACAGAGUAAAGUGGCGUACGGGUGAGUAACACGUGGGUAAUCUACCGAAGAGUUCGGAAUAACCGGUCGAAAGGCUGGCUAAUACUGGAUAGUUCAAGCGCAUUAUAAUGGUGCGAUUGGGAAAGGGAGCGGGCAACCGCCUUCGCUUUUUGAUGAGCCCGCGUCUGAUUAGCUAGUUGGUGAGGUAAUGGCUCACAAAGGCAGAGAUCAGUAGCUGGUCUGAGAGGAUGAUCAGCCACACUGGAACUGAAACACGGUCCAGACUCCUACGGGAGGCAGCAGUGGGGAAUCUUGCGCAAUGGACGAAAGUCUGACGCAGCCACGCCGCGUGAGUGAAGAAGGCCUUCGGGUUGUAAAGCUCUGUCGGAGGGGACAAAAACUCCAUAGGUGAAUAGCCUGUGGACUUGAUGGUACCCUUAAAGGAAGCACCGGCUAACUUCGUGCCAGCAGCCGCGGUAAUACGAAGGGUGCAAGCGUUGCUCGGAAUUAUUGGGCGUAAAGGGUAGGUAGGUGGUGAUGUAUGUCUGAAGUGAAAUCCCUGAGCUUAACUCAGGACGUGCUUUGGAAACGGCAUCACUAGAGUACUGGAGAGGUUCGCAGAAUUCCCGGUGUAGCGGUGAAAUGCGUAGAGAUCGGGAGGAAUACCAGAGGCGAAGGCGGCGAACUGGACAGUAACUGACACUCAACUACGAAAGCGUGGGUAGCAAACAGGAUUAGAUACCCUGGUAGUCCACGCUGUAAACGAUGGGUACUAGAGAUGGCGGGAGUUGACCCCUGCCGUCUCGGAGCUAACGCAAUAAGUACCCCGCCUGGGAAGUACGGUCGCAAGACUAAAACUCAAAGGAAUUGACGGGAGCCCGCACAAGCGGUGGAUUAUGUGGUUUAAUUCGAAGCAACGCGCAGAACCUUACCUGGGUUUGACAUCCUUUGAUAACUGCAGAGAUGCAGCUUCCGUAGCAAUACGACAAAGUGACAGGUGCUGCAUGGCUGUCGUCAGCUCGUGCGGUGGCAUGUCGGGUUAAGUCCCUCAACGAGCGCAACCCCUGUCUUUAGUUGCCAGCAUUAAGUUGGGCACUCUAGAGAGACUGCCGUGGUUAACACGGAGGAAGGCGGGGAUGACGUCAAGUCCUCAUGGCCCUUACACCCAGGGCGACACACGUAAUACAAUGGCUGGUACAGAGGGAAGCGAACUCGCGAGAGGGAGCAAAUCUCAAAAAGCCAGCCUCAGUUCGGAUUGGAGUCUGCAACUCGACUCCAUGAAGGCGGAAUCGCUAGUAAUCGCGGAUCAGCACGCCGCGGUGAAUACGUUCCCGGGCUUUGUACACACCGCCCGUCACACCAUGGGAGCUGACUCAACCAGAAAACAGUCAGGGUAACCGUAAGGGGCCCUCUGUUGAAGGUGGGGUUGGUGACUGGGGUGAAGUCGUAACAAGGUA
rnacentral:rRNA from 1 species